UGGGGAAUAUUGGACAAUGGGGGCAACCCUGAUCCAGCCAUGCCGCGUGAGUGAUGAAGGCCUUAGGGUUGUAAAGCUCUUUUACCUGGGAAGAUAAUGACUGUACCAGGAGAAUAAGCCCCGGCUAACUUCGUGCCAGCAGCCGCGGUAAUACGAAGGGGGCUAGCGUUGUUCGGAAUCACUGGGCGUAAAGCGCAUGUAGGCGGACUGUUAAGUCGGGGGUGAAAUCCUGGAGCUCAACUCCAGAACUGCCUUCGAUACUGACGAUCUGGAGUGUGGAAGAGGUUGGUGGAACUGCGAGUGUAGAGGUGAAAUUCGUAGAUAUUCGCAAGAACACCGGUGGCGAAGGCGGCCAACUGGUCCAUUACUGACGCUGAGAUGCGAAAGCGUGGGGAGCAAACAGGAUUAGAUACCCCCGUAGUCC
rnacentral:rRNA from 1 species